GCAGGAGCCGGCUUGCUGGCGAUCGCAUCACCGCGGUGUUCCUGAAAAACCGAGGCUUACUCAAUCGCCAGCAAGCCGGCUCCUAC
rnacentral:misc_RNA from 1 species